rnacentral:rRNA from 1 species
CACGUAGGGUGCAAGCGUUGUCCGGAUUUAUUGGGCGUAAAGAGCUCGUAGGCGGCUUGUCGCGUUGAUCGUGAAAACCCGAUGCUUAACGUCGGGCUUGCGGUUGAUACGGGCUGGCUGGAGUGUGGUAGGGGAGACUGGAAUUCCUGGUGUAGCGGUGAAAUGCGCAGAUAUCAGGAGGAACACCGGUGGCGAAGGCGGGUCUCUGGGCCAUUACUGACGCUGAGGAGCGAAAGCGUGGGUAGCGAACAGGAUUAGAUACCCUGGUAGUCCACGCUGUAAACGUUGGGCGCUAGGUGUGGGGGAUGGUUCACGUUCUCUGCGCCGUAGCUAACGCAUUAAGCGCCCCGCCUGGGGAGUACGGCCGCAAGGCUAAA